rnacentral:lncRNA from 1 species
CUUUAUUUUCACCCAAAAUGUUUAUUUGAAGUUUAUUUGUAAUAUUCUAAGAACAUCUUCUCUCAAUCAAAUAAAAACUUUAAUCAAGGACUUAAAGACAUUCCAAGAAUGUCAUUCAAAAAACAUUUUCUCAUAGCGUUAUGAGAACGUAGUAAUCAUGUUAAAAGAAUGUUCCAUUUUAGAACGUUUUGUUUUAACAUUUUUAGUCCAGCACUUCAUGUUCGAAUAGGCCUCUACACAAACUCUUUACUCACAAACACUCACUGAAACUCACAGAAUCCCCUUCCCUCUUGCUCUGCUUGGCUUCAUAUUUCUCCAUUACGCAGGCAGUAAUGAUGACUGACGGGUGCUACUGUCCCCUGGUGGAUAAAUAGAAAACUGCAGCGCUUUAACCUCAAGGCAGCUCUUUCCACAGACGACCUUGUUGUUUGUGAAUCUCGCCACGAGGAGGAGCACUAACACAACACAGACCACUCUUUCAAUAGACACAAGGAGGGAGGAGUCACGCACCUGUGAAUCUACACCUGAGAACGAACCAAGCCGGAGAAUAGGCAGAAAAGAAGAGAUAGACAGAAACUCAUUGAAACCGGGCCUAUAG